rnacentral:rRNA from 1 species
ACUUGUGGCCAAACCAGCUCGUCAAAGCCUGAUCUCAUCUGAUCUCAGAAGCUAAGCAAAGCCGGGCCUGGUUAGUACUUGGAUGGGAGUCUUCUAGGAAAAUCCAAAUCACAGUGGGACGCAAGUG